rnacentral:rRNA from 1 species
UACAGAGGGGGCAAGCGUUGUUCGGAAUUACUGGGCGUAAAGGGCGCGUAGGCGGCCUGUUAAGUCGAACGUGAAAUCCCCCGGGCUCAACCCGGGAACUGCGUCCGAUACUGGCAGGCUUGAAUCCGGGAGAGGGAUGCGGAAUUCCAGGUGUAGCGGUGAAAUGCGUAGAUAUCUGGAGGAACACCGGUGGCGAAGGCGGCAUCCUGGACCGGCAUUGACGCUGAGGCGCGAAAGCCAGGGGAGCAAAACGGGG